GAAGAGAGAGAGAGAGAGAGAUACCAUGCAUGCAAGGGAGUGACAGAGAGAGAAGGAGGGAGAGAUUCCGAAGCAGACUCAGCACUAUAAGUACAGAGCUUGAACGUGAGACUGGAACCCACUAGCCAUGAGAUCAUGACCUGAGCUGAAACCAAGAGCUGAAACAACUAACUGAGCAACCCAGGAGCCCCUAAAGAAUGCUUUUUAAAAAAAGGAUGGACCUCUCAUGUGGCAUAGACUUUUAAUUGCCUCUUUUUAUCCAUUUGUUCCUCUUUUGUAACAAAACUGAAUUACUGCCCAGCCAGUACAAAUCGUAAAUAGGACAUCAAGGAAUACCAACAUGUAACACAAAUAACUCCCUGGCACACUGAAACUAGAUUUGACACUCGUAUUUCUGAUUUUUCCAGGCAAUGUGGACAGAGAUGCAAAGACACAGUUCCUGCUUUCAAGUUUACAGCAUAGAUGGAGAGUCAGAUGCCUAGAACUGGAAUUUCUGGAUUAUAGGGUAAGUAUGUGUCAACUUUUUUUUUUAAUUUUUUUUUCAAC